GCAGCGUCGUGGUGACGUACGAAGUCCUCCUUCGGGUCGGGGCGGGGAUUGGCGCCGCCGCCGUCGUGGAGGACCGCGUGGAGGACCUCCUGCAGGCCACCGCCGCCAAUUGCAGUCAAUGCAGCGACGUCACGUGCGAGCUGUGCUUCAAUGCCUCCCACACCGCUGUGACCAACUACAGCAUUCAGCCCCUGGAUGAAGAGCUGUGCCGGCAGUUCGUCCCGCCGUCUCUGAUUGGCUACUACUCCCCCGUCCUCUCAACCAAUGGCGUUCUUUGCGUCACCCGUUGCCACCCGCUUUCCUCCGAGCCCCUCCCGUGCGUGCACGGAGCAUGCGCAGUGAGCGACGACGGGCCGCAGUGCGACUGCAGUGACCCCGGCUCCUUCUGGUACCUGGACUCGUCGUGCAGCUCCAGGCUGAGCAAAGUGGGCUUGGCUCUCGGGCUCCCCCUGGCGGCGCUUUGCGUCGGUGCAGCGGGCUGCGGGGCGGCGCUGCUGAGGAGCAGGAGGCUGCGCAGGGCG